UGUGGCUCAGUGUUACAGUGUGUGCCUUGUGUACACAAGAGCCUGGGUUCAAUCCCCAGCA
rnacentral:tRNA from 1 species